rnacentral:rRNA from 1 species
CCUACGGGCGGCUGCAGUGGGGAAUAUUGGACAAUGGGGGCAACCCUGAUCCAGCCAUGCCGCGUGUGUGAAGAAGGCCCUCGGGUUGUAAAGCACUUUCAGUGAGGAAGAACGCCUGGUGGUUAAUACCCAUCAGGAAAGACAUCACUCACAGAAGAAGCACCGGCUAACUCCGUGCCAGCAGCCGCGGUAAUACGGAGGGUGCGAGCGUUAAUCGGAAUUACUGGGCGUAAAGCGCGCGUAGGUGGCUUGAUAAGCCGGUUGUGAAAGCCCCGGGCUCAACCUGGGAACGGCAUCCGGAACUGUCAAGCUAGAGUGCAGGAGAGGAAGGUAGAAUUCCCGGUGUAGCGGUGAAAUGCGUAGAGAUCGGGAGGAAUACCAGUGGCGAAGGCGGCCUUCUGGACUGACACUGACACUGAGGUGCGAAAGCGUGGGUAGCAAACAGGAUUAGAUACCCUUGUUAGUC